GAUGAACGCUGGCGGCGUGCUUAACACAUGCAAGUCGAACGAUGAAGCCCAGCUUGCUGGGUGGAUUAGUGGCGAACGGGUGAGUUACACGUGUGUCACCUGCCCUUAACUCUGGGAUAAGCCUGGGAAACUGGUUCUAAUACCGGAGAGGAGCGUCAACGGGGUGGGGGUUGUUGGAAUGGUUUUAGGGGUUUGGUGGGGCUCGGGGCUUAUAAGCUUGUUGGUGAGGUCAUGGUUCACCAGGGCGACGACGGGUCGCCGGCCUGAGCGGGUGACCGGCCACACUGGGACUGAAACACGGCCCAGACUCCUACGGGAGGCAGCAGUGGAGAAUAUUGCACAAUGGGCGCAAGCCUGAUGCAGCGACGCCGCGUGAGGGAUGACGGCCUUCGGGUUGUAAACCUCUGUCAGUAGGGAAGAAGCGAAAGUGACGGUACCUGCAGAAGAAGCACCGGCUAACUACGUG
rnacentral:rRNA from 1 species